rnacentral:rRNA from 1 species
CCUACGGGUGGCAGCAGUGGGGGAUAUUGCACAAUGGGGGAAACCCUGAUGCAGCGACGCCGCGUGGGUGAAGAAGUAUUUCGGUAUGUAAAGCCCUAUCAGCAGGGAAGAAAGAAGACGGUACCUGACUAAGAAGCCCCGGCUAACUACGUGCCAGCAGCCGCGGUAAUACGUAGGGGGCGAGCGUUAUCCGGAUUCACUGGGUGUAAAGGGAGCGUAGACGGCCGUGCAAGCCAGGAGUGAAAGCCCGGGGCCCAACCCCGGGACUGCUCUUGGAACUGUGCGGCUGGAGUGCGGGAGGGGCAGGCGGAAUUCCGGGUGUAGCGGUGAAAUGCGUAGAUAUCAGGAGGAACACCGGCGGCGAAGGCGGCCUGCUGGACCGCGACUGACGUUGAGGCUCGAAAGCGUGGGGAGCGAACAGGAUUAGAUACCCCUGUAGUC